GAGGAAACUCGGAUUAAUACCUGAUAUUCUUUAUUUCUCGCAUGAGAAUAAAAGGAAAGGUCAGCCGAACUAAGAUGAGCUCGCGUUCUAUCAGCUAGUUGGUGAGGUAAAAGCUCACCAAGGCUACGACGGAUAGCUGGUCUGAGAGGACGAUCAGCCACACUGGGACUGAGACACGGCCCAGACUCCUACGGGAGGCUGCAGCAGGGAAUAUUGCGCAAUGAGCGAAAGCUUGACGCAGCGACACCGCGUGUGGGAUGACGGAUCUAGGUUUGUAAACCACUUUCAGGAGGGAAGAAAAUGACGGUACCUCCACAAGAAGCCCCGGCCAACUACGUGCCAGCAGCCGCGGUAAUACGUAGGGGGCGAGCGUUGUCCGGAUUUAUUGGGCGUAAAGAGCUCGUAGGCGGUUCAACAAGUCGGUCGUGAAAGUUCAGGGCUCAACCCUGAAAUGUCGAUCGAUACUGUUGUGACUAGGAUACGGUAGAGGUGAGUGGAAUUCCGAGUGUAGCGGUGAAAUGCGUAGAUAUUCGGAGGAACACCAAUAGCGAAGGCAGC
rnacentral:rRNA from 1 species